CGGAGGGAAACCGAGUCUUAAUUGGGCGUUAAGUUGCAGGGUAUAGACCCGAAACCCGGUGAUCUAGCCAUGGGCAGGUUGAAGGUUGGGUAACACUAACUGGAGGACCGAACCGACUAAUGUUGAAAAAUUAGCGGAUGACCUGUGGCUGGGGGUGAAAGGCCAAUCAAACCGGGAGAUAGCUGGUUCUCCCCGAAAGCUAUUUAGGUAGCGCCUCGUGAAUUCAUCUCCGGGGGUAGAGCACUGUUUCGGCUAGGGGGCCAUCCCGGCUUACCAACCCGAUGCAAACUGCGAAUACCGGAGAAUGUUAUCACGGGAGACACACGGCGGGUGCUAACGUCCGUCGUGAAGAGGGAAACAACCCAGACCGCCAGCUAAGGUCCCAAAGUCAUGGUUAAGUGGGAAACGAUGUGGGAAGGCCCAGACAGCCAGGAUGUUGGCUUAGAAGCAGCCAUCAUUUAAAGAAAGCGUAAUAGCUCACUGGUCGAGUCGGCCUGCGCGGAAGAUGUAACGGGGCUAAACCAUGCACCGAAGCUGCGGCAGCGACACUGUGUGUUGUUGGGUAGGGGAGCGUUCUGUAAGCCUGUGAAGGUGUGUCGUGAGGCAUGCUGGAGGUAUCAGAAGUGCGAAUGCUGACAUAAGUAACGAUAAAGCGGGUGAAAAGCCCGCUCGCCGGAAGACCAAGGGUUCCUGUCCAACGUUAAUCGGGGCAGGGUGAGUCGACCCCUAAGGCGAGGCCGAAAGGCGUAGUCGAUGGGAAACGGGUUAAUAUUCCCGUACUUGGUGUUACUGCGAAGGGGGGACGGAGAAGGCUAUGUUGGCCGGGCGACGGUUGUCCCGGUUUAAGCGUGUAGGUGUGUGUUCCAGGUAAAUCCGGUUCACUUUAACACUGAGGCGUGACGACGAGGCACUACGGUGCUGAAGCAACAAAUGCCCUGCUUCCAGGAAAAGCCUCUAAGCAUCAGGUAACAUCAAAUCGUACCCCAAACCGACACAGGUGGUCAGGUAGAGAAUACCAAGGCGCUUGAGAGAACUCGGGUGAAGGAACUAGGCAAAAUGGUGCCGUAACUUCGGGAGAAGGCACGCUGACACGUAGGUGAAGUGAUUUACUCAUGGAGCUGAAGUCAGUCGAAGAUACCAGCUGGCUGCAACUGUUUAUUAAAAACACAGCACUGUGCAAACACGAAAGUGGACGUAUACGGUGUGACGCCUGCCCGGUGCCGGAAGGUUAAUUGAUGGGGUCAGCGCAAGCGAAGCUCCUGAUCGAAGCCCCGGUAAACGGCGGCCGUAACUAUAACGGUCCUAAGGUAGCGAAAUUCCUUGUCGGGUAAGUUCCGACCUGCACGAAUGGCGUAAUGAUGGCCAGGCUGUCUCCACCCGAGACUCAGUGAAAUUGAACUCGCUGUGAAGAUGCAGUGUACCCGCGGCAAGACGGAAAGACCCCGUGAACCUUUACUAUAGCUUGACACUGAACAUUGAGCCUUGAUGUGUAGGAUAGGUGGGAGGCUUUGAAGUGUGGACGCCAGUCUGCAUGGAGCCGACCUUGAAAUACCACCCUUUAAUGUUUGAUGUUCUAACGUGGACCCGUUACCCGGGUUGCGGACAGUGUCUGGUGGGUAGUUUGACUGGGGCGGUCUCCUCCUAAAGAGUAACGGAGGAGCACGAAGGUUGGCUAAUCCUGGUCGGACAUCAGGAGGUUAGUGCAAUGGCAUAAGCCAGCUUGACUGCGAGCGUGACGGCGCGAGCAGGUGCGAAAGCAGGUCAUAGUGAUCCGGUGGUUCUGAAUGGAAGGGCCAUCGCUCAACGGAUAAAAGGUACUCCGGGGAUAACAGGCUGAUACCGCCCAAGAGUUCAUAUCGACGGCGGUGUUUGGCACCUCGAUGUCGGCUCAUCACAUCCUGGGGCUGAAGUAGGUCCCAAGGGUAUGGCUGUUCGCCAUUUAAAGUGGUACGCGAGCUGGGUUUAGAACGUCGUGAGACAGUUCGGUCCCUAUCUGCCGUGGGCGCUGGAGAACUGAGGGGGGCUGCUCCUAGUACGAGAGGACCGGAGUGGACGCAUCACUGGUGUUCGGGUUGUCAUGCCAAUGGCACUGCCCGGUAGCUAAAUGCGGAAGAGAUAAGUGCUGAAAGCAUCUAAGCACGAAACUUGCCCCGAG
rnacentral:rRNA from 2 species